rnacentral:rRNA from 1 species
GCGAGUCAUUGUAGCAAUACAAGGCAUACGGCUCAGUAACGCGUAGUCAACCUAACCUAUGGACGGGAAUAACCUCGGGAAACUGAGAAUAAUGCCCGAUAGAACAUUAUACCUGGAAUGGUUUAUGUUCCAAAUGAUUUAUCGCCGUAGGAUGGGACUGCGGCCUAUCAGUUUGUUGGUGAGGUAAUGGCCCACCAAGACUAUUACAGGUACGGGCUCUGAGAGGAGUAGCCCGGAGAUGGGUACUGAGACACGGACCCAGGCCCUAUGGGGCGCAGCAGGCGAGAAAACUUUGCAAUGUGCGAAAGCACGACAAGGUUAAUCCGAGUGAUUUCUGCUAAAGAAAUCUUUUGUUAGUCCUAGAAACACUAACGAAUAAGGGGUGGGCAAGUUCUGGUGUCAGCCGCCGCGGUAAAACCAGCACCUCAAGUGGUCAGGAUGAUUAUUGGGCCUAAAGCAUCCGUAGCCGGCUCUGUAAGUUUUCGGUUAAAUCUGUACGCUCAACGUACAGGCUGCCGGGAAUACUGCAUAGCUAGGGAGUGGGAGAAGUAGACGGUACUCGGUAGGAAGUGGUAAAAUGCUUUGAUCUAUCGAUGACCACCUGUGGCGAAGGCGGUCUACUAGAACACGUCCGACGGUGAGGGAUGAAAGCUGGGGGAGCAAACCGGAUUAGAUACCCGGGUAGUCCCAGCUGUAAACUAUGCAAACUCAGUGAUGCAUUGGCUUGUGGCCAAUGCAGUGCUGCAGGGAAGCCGUUAAGUUUGCCGCCUGGGAAGUACGUACGCAAGUAUGAAACUUAAAGGAAUUGGCGGGGGAGCACCAC